ensembl:lncRNA Novel transcript
UCAUCUCGCUCCGGGAGAGAGAGUCAAUCCUAGUUUUAAAAGAUACUGGAAAUUCGUUGCGACUAUGGCUAUAGAAACAGAAGAAAUGCAGUUAUCUGAGUCCUUUCAGCCUAACACUCCCUGCUUUGGAACAUUUGGUUCCAGUCAGGAGGCACAAAUGAGGGAGCAGGGAAAUCAGUGGCGGGCCUGUGCCUUUCUUUGCUCUGUAGACAGCCAGAGGACCCAGAGGAAGUCGACAUUUCGUUCCGUCAAGGUGACUGAGACCAGUGGCUGCUUCUAAGGAUCAAGUGGCACAUGAACAAAUGGGAACAAAGUACACCCUUGUCUAGUAUUUGUCUAAAACUAACAAUAAUAGCAAGUCUUGAAUUGAGUUCUUCCUGGCUAUAAGGCACCACGCUAGGUGUUUCAAAUACUCCUCACUUCAUCCUCACUACAACCUUGCAAUUACCUCCAUUUUACAGUUGAGGAAACUGAGUCAGGAGAGGUUAACUAACUUGCACAAGAUCACACAGCUAGGAAGAUGCAGAAACAAGAUUAGAGCCAAACCAGUCAGUCAACUGUUGGUCUUUUUCACGUUUUACUAAUACUCGUAUAACUAACCUAAACAGUGCCCAUCAUUCCUGUGAAGAAAAGGAGAAGGGGCCAGGUGCGGUAGCUCACGCCUAUAAUCCCAGGACUUUGGGAGGCUGACGCCGGUGGAUCACCCGAGAUGGCAGCUCUCAAGAUCUGUCCGGAAAAGUCUAGAAGCCUCCAGAUUUCUAAUCAACAGACUAGCGCUCCUCCUCUGUAACUGAGGAACAAGAUGCCAAGGAGACAGGAGAAAGAAGAGAAUUCCCUUCAUGUCUCGGCCAUAAACCCUGAAACAGACUUGUCCAUGAGCCUUGUAAAAUAAGUUACAUU